CUUCCUGUCUGUGUAAUGGAGGUUGUGUUGUGUUUUUGCAGCGACUCUGUACGCCUCGUGUAUUCUGCUCGGCGUUUUCCUGAACGGAUCGGUGCCAAUCUUCUUUGAGAUGUUCGUGGAGACCGUGUAUCCGGUGCCGGAGGGGAUCACCUGCGGAUUCGUCACCUUCCUCAAUAAUAUCUUCGCGGGGGUCCUAUUGGUGUUUUUAACCUUUUAUCACACAGACUUAUCCUGGCUGAACUGGUGCCUGACGGGAUCUUGCUUGCUCAGCUUGUUUUUAAUUGUGUGCUUCAGGGAAUCCUACGAUAGACUGUAUCUAGACGUCUUUAUUUCUGUCUGAGGGGCCCCUCCCCCCGCCCUGGCCCGGGCUGAACUAUCGAAAUCUGUUUGCACAAAAAAAAAAAAAUGGGACCGUAGCCAUGGACGGGACAGGACCGUAACCAUGGCCGGGACGGUUGCCAUGGACGGAACAGGACCGCAUUUAGGGACGGAACCGUAGCCAUGGACGGGACCGGACCGUAAGCCAUGGACAUGGCCGAAGCUGCACUAACAACGGGACUCUCGUGUCGUUCUUCACUCCGUGGGAACUCGGAAACGCUCAUUUCCUCGUGGAAUUCUUUUUUUUUUUUUAAUUGUCUUUUUCUGGAUUAUGUUAAUAAAAAUGAACCUUUUUUGUAACGUUUUAAUGAA